CCCGCCGCCACCACGAAAUGCCAAGCAGCACAAACGGCAACAUCGCUACUGCCGUUUUGCUCAGCAGCGCCGAUGCAAAGGUUCCCACGCUGAGCCAGUACCAUCGUCGCUGACUCUCGUCUUCAAAUCGCAGAUACAACAGCAGCGUCAAAGCAUAGAAAAACAUCGCGAGCGUAUUCUUCCGCUCCGCAAUCCAUGCUACAGACUGCACGUUCACAGGAUGCACAGCGAAAAUCGCGGCCGCCAGCCAAGCC
rnacentral:misc_RNA from 1 species